rnacentral:rRNA from 1 species
CACCAGCCCCUCGAGUGGUGGGGAUGAUUAUUUGGCCUAAAGCGUCCGUAGCCGGCCGGGUAAGUUUCCCGUUAAAUUCAGCGACCUAAUCGUUGAGCCGCGGGAGAUACUACUAGGCUAGGAGGCGGGAGAGGUCGACGGUACUUUCGGGGUAGGGGUGAAAUCCUAUAAUCCCGGGAGGACCACCAGUGGCGAAGGCUGUCGACUAGAACGCGCUCGACGGUGAGGGACGAAAGCUGGGGGAGCGAACCGGAUUAGAUACCCGGGUAGUCCCAGCUGUAAACUAUGCGGGCUAGGUGUUGGGGUGGCUACGGGCCACUUCAGUGCCGCAGGAAAGCCAUUAAGCCCGCCGCCUGGGGAGUACGGCCGCAAGGCUGAAACUUAAAGGAAUUGGCGGGGGAGCACCACAAGGCGUGAAGCUUGCGGUUC